rnacentral:rRNA from 1 species
GAUCCUGGCUCAGGACGAACGCUGGCGGCGUGCUUAACACAUGCAAGUCGAACGAAAAGACGGAAAGAGCUUGCUCUUUUCAGAAUUGAGUGGCAAACGGGUGAGUAACACGUAAACAACCUGCCUUCAGGAUGGGGACAACAGACGGAAACGACUGCUAAUACCGAAUAAGUUCCAAGGGCCGCAUGGCCCAUGGAAGAAAAGGUGGCCUCUACCUGUAAGCUAUCGCCUGAAGAGGGGUUUGCGUCUGAUUAGCUGGUUGGAGGGGUAACGGCCCACCAAGGCGACGAUCAGUAGCCGGUCUGAGAGGAUGAACGGCCACACUGGAACUGAGACACGGUCCAGACUCCUACGGGAGGCAGCAGUGGGGAAUCUUCCGCAAUGGGCGAAAGCCUGACGGAGCAACGCCGCGUGAGUGAUGACGGCCUUCGGGUUGUAAAACUCUGUGAUCCGGGACGAAAAGGCAGAGUGCGAAGAACAAACUGCAUUGACGGUACCGGAAAAGCAAGCCACGGCUAACUACGUGCCAGCAGCCGCGGUAAUACGUAGGUGGCAAGCGUUGUCCGGAAUUAUUGGGCGUAAAGCGCGCGCAGGCGGCUUCCCAAGUCCCUCUUAAAAGUGCGGGGCUUAACCCCGUGAUGGGAAGGAAACUGGGAAGCUGGAGUAUCGGAGAGGAAAGUGGAAUUCCUAGUGUAGCGGUGAAAUGCGUAGAGAUUAGGAAGAACACCGGUGGCGAAGGCGACUUUCUGGACGAAAACUGACGCUGAGGCGCGAAAGCGUGGGGAGCAAACAGGAUUAGAUACCCUGGUAGUCCACGC